AUUCAACAGCAUAGUGAAUUGCUCUAAGAGAAAACAAAAAUUUUAAGUUCAUUAGAACACAUUCAUUCUGUGUCAGAAACCUAUUCUGUGUCAACUAUUUAAUCACAAUCCAAAUUUAGAGCUGAAUCCAGCUUGAAUGUUGUGUCCAUACUUGCCCAACCAUUCAGGGUUUCAACCUCUGCUGUCGAUAAAGCUACGCCCUGCGGAGCAUCUGGUUUCAAAAUGUAAUGUGCAAUAGUUAAAUUGUAACCAUAUACUUAAUUACUGCUGAAAACCUUUUUUAUUUCAGUUUUGGUAACCUUUAUUUUUCAUUCUGUAGAAUGAGUGACCCAUAAUUGCCACAAACUUCGUUCAUUUCCACUUAUAUCUGACCUACAUUCGAAUAUUCGGUACUUUUUAUGUAGGUUUCAGAAAGUAUACUUUAUGAAAAAAAUGUAUUUUGAUAAAAGAAUUAACCUCAAAACAUUGGUUAAUUGUUCUAAAAAUGAACGCAAACUCAAGAAGAAAUCAAGAUGUUCGUGUGCCAUUGGGGACACAUUUUGUCGCAAUGUAUGAUAUGACCAUCUUCAUUAUCCUGGUAUAUUAUAAAAACCAAUGUUUGUAAUUACAUGAAUAAGCUUAAGAGAUCAUUCCUAAAAAAUAUUUCUCACAAAUAUUUACUUUAAGACUGCACAAGAUUGCCCCAAAAAAUUUUAAAAACACCUGCAUAUUUCUUAAUAUAUGCGAAUAACCUUGAAAAUGGGUUAAAGAGGAAUAUUAACCGUUUGAACAUUACAACCAACCUUUACAAUCUAUUUAGGCAAGUACUGGGUAAAGAAACACAAAUCUUACAGAAAAAAAAGCAAAACUGUGAAAAAUAUGCCAAUGGCGAAUAUGGGCCACCCACUCUACCACUUUUUAUAAAAUUGAACAUGUUUAGAGUACCAUGAUCUAAUUUUUAUAUAUACCAAAAACAUCAAAUAUUUUGUUUGACCUUUGAUUGUUAUCUUUAUUGAAAAGCUUCCAAAAGUAAAGGAUCAUUGGUUCUUGAUUUAGUUGUUGUGUUAAAGAGAGAAGAGUCUACCUAAUUAAACUGAUUAUUUUAGCAUGUCACCACAAUAGCAGAGGUUAAGUUAAAACUGGCUUCAUAUCAUAAAUAAAAAAUAUGAGGUUCAUUGGAUCUACUGAUAAUUUCCUGUAACAAUAAAACUGACUUCAUCAAAUUAUAUGGAUUAAUUGUAAUGAGGAUUUAUCACAAACAAACAAUACAUUAGUAUAGAACCACAAAAUCAUCAAUAUUUAUAUUUCAUUCAUUUUAAAGUAACUUAUCCUUAUAUAUUUUAUUUCUGUUAUUUCUAUAUAGAAAUCCUAUUUUGCAUACACCUAGAAUUCCCAAAAAAAAAGAAACGUUUUUUAACUUAUAAAUUUAUAUUUAAUCUACCUGAAUUGUAUUAUUGGUGCAUAAUUCAUUUUAUU
rnacentral:lncRNA from 1 species